rnacentral:rRNA from 1 species
CCAUGCAAGUCGAGCGGGGUUGGCAGCAGUUAGCUUGCUAACAGCAGUCAACCCAGCGGCGGACGGGUGAGUAACGCGUGAGCAACCAACCUUGUACAGGGGGAUAACAGGUGGAAACACCUGCUAAUACCGCAUAAGACCCCGGCACUGCAUGGUGCUGAGGUAAAAGGAGGAAACUCCGGUACGAGACGGGCUCGCGUCCCAUUAGCUGGUUGGUGGGGUGACGGCCUACCAAGGCGACGAUGGGUAGCCGGCCUGAGAGGGUGUACGGCCACACUGGGACUGAGACACGGCCCAGACUCCUACGGGAGGCAGCAGUGGGGGAUAUUGCGCAAUGGGGGGAACCCUGACGCAGCGACGCCGCGUGAGCGAAGAAGGCCUUCGGGUCGUAAAGCUCUGUCUUUGGGGAAGAAUAAGAUGACGGUACCCAAGGAGGAAGCCCCGGCUAACUACGUGCCAGCAGCCGCGGUAACACGUAGGGGGCGAGCGUUGUCCGGAAUUACUGGGCGUAAAGGGUGCGUAGGCGGCCUUAUAAGUCAUGUGUGAAAAACCCGGGCUCAACCCGGGUAUUGCAAGUGAAACUAUAGGGCUUGAGUGCAGGAGAGGGAAGUGGAAUUCCUAGUGUAGCGGUGAAAUGCGUAGAGAUUAGGAGGAACACCAGUGGCGAAGGCGGCUUCCUGGACUGCAACUGACGCUGAGGCACGAAAGCGUGGGGAGCAAACAGGAUUAGAUA